rnacentral:lncRNA from 10 species
GCUUAAGAGCUACUAAUAUUUAUUGGCAAGCUAAUUGUAACAUUCAAGGUAAAUAUGUAGCUAUAAAGUACUGCAAUCACAUAAAUGAACAAAUAUGUAUCAGCUAACAUAUAACACUGAACAAAAUCAGUCUUUAUUAAACCAAGCCUUCCUUCAUAAUGCUUUUUGCUUAAAAUUCUGGAAAUUUUAAAAUAUGAAAUUGUGAUGUGUCAGCAUUAUUUUUGCAGUAUUAUUAAGAAAUAGAUUGACUAUACCACAACUUGAUUUAUUUCGUUAAUAUAAUAUAAGAAGGAUAAUACAAACAUCAGAAGAUUCUUUCACAGUUAGAUUGAAAGUGCACACUUAGGCAGCUAGUAGCUAACUCUCCAAAUGUUCCUUAAUGAUUUUCUUGUACAGCAGGGCUUGCAGAUCCAAGCAAAUUUUCCUCCCAUUCUUCAGCGUGGCUCUGGCAGGGAAAAGAGAAGAGACGUGACUUUCAGUCCUUGGGUUUGCAAAUGGCAUUAGAAGGGGGAGGGAUGGGCAGAGGAGGCACGGAGCGGGAGCACUAACUGAUGCAGUGCGAGGACUCACAUGAGUUGGGCAGUGGGGCAGUGGGGUCCGGCCUUGAUCACCUCCAGGCUGGUGAUGUGCCUGGGACGGACCUGGGAGGUGGUCUUCACACACAGGCACUGCAGGUCCCCAUCUUCUUCAGCUUCAGCUGAGGGGGAAAGGGAGGGAGUAAGAGAGGAGGAGGGGUGGGAGUUGUGACUCCCUGAGUAGCCAGAGAUACUUUAGGGACCUUUUCCACUACCUUCAGCUUUCUUUUCCUUAGCCGUAAAUCAGACCUCUCUCAGACAGAGGUUGUGCUGAUCAGGUGGCGAGGUGCACGUGCAGUGCCUGGCACUGUACCCGCAGACUCAGCACGCGCGCAAUAAGAGCAGCUGCGAUCAUGAUCCUAGAGGAUUCCUCCCCAGCCCCAGGGCUUCCCGGACUCCCCCUCGCCGCUGCUGGCCCUCCCAGCCUGGUUUCUGCUCUCACCUCUGGCGAAGGCGACCACAACUGGCAGGAGCAGCAACGCCAAGAACAGCAUCUCCUGGCGGGUGGCGCGGGUGAUGACUCUUCUGAAUUUCACCUGAAUGUGGAAAACUUCCCUAGUCUCUGGAUGAGAUUUACCAGGCUCCACCAACAAUCACCCAGUAUACUGUAGGAUGCAAGAUCUAUUUCCCGUUACUCUUAGAAAAAUUGCAGAAGUAAUAUUUGAAUGCAUUAUUUUUAUAAAAACUUAGCUCCUGGAUGUUUCUUCAUUGUUUCAAUCCUGAAUAAUAGUCCAGAAGAGAGGACAAGGAGAGUUUGCCAGGCCAUGUCUUCCAGAGCCUGCUGUGUCCUCAGUCACUGCCAGUGACAGGGUGAGAUGGGCUGCACUGUUGGCAGGGAGCAGUGAUGCUCUCUGUGGGAGGAUUCAGGGCAUCUGGGAGUUGGGUGUGAGAAUGAUGGGAGGUGACAGUGAAGGGGAUGCAACAGAAUCCCACACGGGAAAGGGGAAGAGAUCCAUAUCGACCGUUUUCUCUUCUCUAAAAAAGAAUGACUUUGGCUCUUGAUCAGGGCAAGGUACACCCUCAACCCAAAGCCCAAGGUUCCCUGUCACUCUGACUAACAGUGGUGAAGGGUGUCAGGGACCCACUGGAUGGAACUAGCUGAUAUUCUAAUGCUCAGCAAACCUGCAUUUUUGUAGGAAUAUGCAAUUCUUUCUCCUACUCUCCCUACACCUGCCUAUUCAGCUGGCUAAGACCUAUUCAUAUUUCUGGUGUCAGCUUAAAUAUCACUUCCUCAGGUGUGCCUUCCCUGACAGCUAUAUAUAAUUGUGUUCCCUUGUUGUUCUAUCUUGCAGAACUCUGUUCUUCGUAUUUCUCACAGAAUACACAAACAUACACACACAUAUAUUGUAGAUAUAUAUAUAUAUAUGUGUGUGUAUGUGUAUCUGUGUAUUUAAAAGUGUUUAAAAUUGUUUUGUUUCUUAAAUGGAAAACACUGUGACAUUAGAUAUCAUAACGUUUAUCACUAUUUCAAUGUACUGGUAGGGACUCAGUGCAAAGUAGCUACAGUAGUGAAGAUAAUGUGUUGAAAAUGAUGAUGAUGAGGCUUUGACGUGUUCCUAUGUCUAUUCAAUUGGAGCAAUUAGAGCAUAUAAUUGGAACAUACAUCUAUAUUGACACGUGUCACAUAUGGUCAAAAUUAUUUGUCCACUUGUCUGCCUCUCCCACAAGAUAGUGAUCUCUUCAAUAGCAAUUCUCUGUGACUUAUGUGCAGUCACCCACCACAUAACAACGUUUUGGGCAGUAAUAGACUGUAUAAGUGAUGAUGAUCCCAUAAGACUAUAGUGGAGCUAAAAAAUUCCUAUUGCCUUGUGAUACCAUAGCUGUUGUAAAAUCAUAGCAAGCCAAUGUAUUAUUCAUGUGUUUGUGGUAAUGCUGGUGUAAACAAACUUACUGUGCUUCCAGUUGCAUAAAAGUAUAUGACAUACAAGUAUGUACAGUACAUAAAAAUGGAU